ensembl:lncRNA
AAAAAUUUCAAGAUACGUAGUGUCAGCAGAAACAAGUUUCCAUAAAUAGCCGUUAAAGUUUAGUUGAUAAUAUGGCUAGGAUAACAUUAGAUUAGCUUAGUUAAGCUAAGACUGCUAGCAGGGAGGGAAAGGGGUUUGUCGAGAGUAAAGAGGACACUGUUCCUCCAAAAACUGACGUCAGACUCUGCAGCCAUGUUAGGAUCAACCAUAGUCUGUGGGAUCAACAGGCAUUUUCACAGCUGUCUCGCUGAGUUAUGUAAAGAAGAACUGGGUGUUAACAUCACAUCACCAGGCAUAAAAUCUUCAAAAUUGAGGAAACACUGGUGCUUUGGAUCAUCCACAUAACACCACCGAGCGACAACAGAGAAGAGAAAAAUGGUUCAUAUCAUUAUUAAGGUUCAGUCAAAAGAAAUUCAGAAUAUUCUUUAGGAUUGAUGUAAGUCAGGUGUAUUGGUAUCAGACUAAAAUGCAUCCAGUAUAGAUAAUAUUUCCUCAAUUUUUGCAAUCAAGAUACCUAUGUUCAUAUAAUUUCCUGUAGUACACCAUGCACUAUCUGCAUACUCUGUGUAGUUUGUACAUUUUGAUGGGGAAGCAUUGGCCUCAAUCAAACCUGAAAAGUUUUGCACCUGCGAGAAACAAUGGCUGUGUUUUACAUCCCUUUAUAUCUUGUUGCGUCUCCAUCCAAACAUUUAAUAAAAAAUUCUUGAUAAAUACCAAA